AACCUUAUGGACCUGCGGGCGUAUACCUGCGGAAGGAUCAUUACCGAGUUUACAACUCCCAAACCCCUGUGAACAUACCACUUGUUGCCUCGGCGGAUCAGCCCGCUCCCGGUAAAACGGGACGGCCCGCCAGAGGACCCCUAAACUCUGUUUCUAUAUGUAACUUCUGAGUAAAACCAUAAAUAAAUCAAAACUUUCAGCAAUGGAUCU
rnacentral:misc_RNA from 1 species